GUGCCCAUAGCUUAGUGGUAAAGCUCCGGUUUGUGGUACCGGCGACGAGAGUUCAAUUCUCUCUGGGCGCCCA
rnacentral:tRNA from 1 species